CAGUAACUCACCACAAGACCAU
rnacentral:snRNA from 1 species